rnacentral:misc_RNA from 1 species
UGGAAGUAAAAGUCGUAACAAGGUUUCCGUAGGUGAACCUGCGGAAGGAUCAUUACUGAUUUGCUUAAUUGCACCACAUGUGUUUUUCUUUGAAACAAACUUGCUUUGGCGGUGGGCCCAGCCUGCCGCCAGAGGUCUAAACUUACAACCAAUUUUUUAUCAACUUGUCACACCAGAUUAUUACUAAUAGUCAAAACUUUCAACAACGGAUCUCUUGGUUCUCGCAUCGAUGAAGAACGCAGCGAAAUGCGAUACGUAAUAUGAAUUGCAGAUAUUCGUGAAUCAUCGAAUCUUUGAACGCACAUUGCGCCCUCUGGUAUUCCGGAGGGCAUGCCUGUUUGAGCGUCGUUUCUCCCUCAAACCGCUGGGUUUGGUGUUGAGCAAUACGACUUGGGUUUGCUUGAAAGACGGUAGUGGUAAGGCGGGAUCGCUUUGACAAUGGCUUAGGUCUAACCAAAAACAUUGCUUGCGGCGGUAACGUCCACCACGUAUAUCUUCAAACUUUGACCUCAAAUCAGGUAGGACUACCCGCUGAACUUAAGCAUAUCAAUAAGCGGAGGA